rnacentral:rRNA from 1 species
UACAGAGGUCUCAAGCGUUGUUCGGAUUCAUUGGGCGUAAAGGGUGCGUAGGCGGCGCGGUAAGUCGGAUGUGAAAUCUCGGGGCUUAACUCCGAAACUGCAUUCGAUACUGCCGUGCUUGAGGACUGGAGAGGAGACUGGAAUUUACGGUGUAGCGGUGAAAUGCGUAGAUAUCGUAAGGAAGACCAGUGGCGAAGGCGGGUCUCUGGGCCGAUACUGACGCUGAGGAGCGAAAGCGUGGGGAGCAAACAGG